UACGGGGGGGGCAAGCGUUGUUCGGAAUUACUGGGCGUAAAGGGUGCGUAGGCGGUGCGGAAAGUGGGGUGUGAAAGACCUCGGCUCAACCGAGGAAUGGCGCUCCAAACUACCGUGCUUGAGUGAGACAGAGGUAAGCGGAACUUCGGGUGGAGCGGUGAAAUGCGUUGAUAUCCGAAGGAACACCGGUGGCGAAAGCGGCUUACUGGGUCUCAACUGACGCUGAGGCACGAAAGCCAGGGUAGCAAACGGG
rnacentral:rRNA from 1 species